rnacentral:rRNA from 1 species
AGUGAACGCUGGCGGUAGACCUAACACAUGCAAGUCGAACGGCAGCACAGUAAUAGCUUGCUCUUACGGGUGGCGAGUGGCGGACGGGUGAGGAAUACAUCGGAAUCUACUUUUUCGUGGGGGAUAACGUAGGGAAACUUACGCUAAUACCGCAUACGACCUACGGGUGAAAGCAGGGGAUCUUCGGACCUUGCGCGAUUGAAUGAGCCGAUGUCGGAUUAGCUAGUUGGCGGGGUAAAGGCCCACCAAGGCGACGAUCCGUAGCUGGUCUGAGAGGAUGAUCAGCCACACUGGAACUGAGACACGGUCCAGACUCCUACGGGAGGCAGCAGUGGGGAAUAUUGGACAAUGGGCGCAAGCCUGAUCCAGCCAUACCGCGUGGGUGAAGAAGGCCUUCGGGUUGUAAAGCCCUUUUGUUGGGAAAGAAAAGCAGCAGGUUAAUACCCCGCUGUUCUGACGGUACCCAAAGAAUAAGCACCGGCUAACUUCGUG